rnacentral:miRNA from 9 species
CUCUUUAUAACGCUCAUAACC